rnacentral:tRNA from 1 species
UUUUUGUAGCUCAGUGGUAAAGCACUUGCCUAGCAUGCAUUGAGGUCCUGGGUUCAAUCCCCAGCACCAAAAA